rnacentral:ribozyme from 13 species
AAUUGAAAGAUCUCAUCACUGAAGAGAUCAAAAAGAAGGGAGAGAAGAAGGGAAACCUCAUUACUCUUCGAAUUGAUGAUCACUCCUAUGGAACUUUUCUUUCCUUUUUAGAAUUUUUAUAUUCUUCUCAUACAUCAAUUAAUGGAAAAAAUGGAAGAG